UUGCUAUUUGAUAUUUCUAGCGGCGGACGGGUGAGUAACGCGUGAGCAACCUGCCUUUAUCAGGGGGAUAACGCAUCGAAAGAUGUGCUAAUACCGCGUAAGACCACAGCUUCACAUGGAGCAGGGGUCAAAGGAGCAAUCCGGAUAAAGAUGGGCUCGCGUCCGAUUAGCUAGUUGGUGAGAUAACAGCCCACCAAGGCGACGAUCAGUAGCCGGCCUGAGAGGGUGAACGGCCACAUUGGGACUGAGACACGGCCCAAACUCC
rnacentral:rRNA from 1 species